rnacentral:rRNA from 1 species
GACGAACGCUGGCGGCAUGCCUAAUACAUGCAAGUCGAGCGAACAGAUGGAGUGCUUGCACUUCUGACGUUAGCGGCGAACGGGUGAGUAACACGUAAGGAAUCUACCUAUAAGCGGGGGAUAACAUUCGGAAACGGGUGCUAAUACCGCAUAAUAUCUUCUUCCGCAUGGAAGAAGAUUGAAAGACGGCUCUGCUGUCACUUAUAGAUGACCUUGCGGUGCAUUAGUUAGUUGGUGGGGUAACGGCCUACCAAGACGAUGAUGCAUAGCCGACCGGGGAGGGUGAUCGGCCACAUUGGGACUGAGACAAGGCCCAAACUCCUACGGGAGGCAGCAGUAGGGAAUCUUCCGCAAUGGGCGAAAGCCUGACGGAGCAAUGCCGCGUGAGUGAAGAAGGCCUUCGGGUCGUAAAACUCUGUUAUAAGAGAAGAACAAAUUGUAGAGUAACUGCUACAGUCUUGACGGUAUCUUAUCAGAAAGCCACGGCUAACUACGUGCCAGCCGCCGCGGUAA